rnacentral:rRNA from 1 species
GCAAACUGGAGAUGGCGACCGGCGCACGGGUGAGUAACACGUAUCCAACCUGCCGAUAACUCGGGGAUAGCCUUUCGAAAGAAAGAUUAAUACCCGAUGGCAUAAUAGAACCGCAUGGUUUGAUUAUUAAAGAAUUUCGGUUAUCGAUGGGGAUGCGUUCCAUUAGGCAGUUGUGGGGUAACGGCCCACCAAACCUUCGAUGGAUAGGGGUUCUGAGAGGAAGGUCCCCCACAUUGGAACUGAGACACGGUCCAAACUCCUACGGGAGGCAGCAUG